AUGUGCAAGAUCACCUUCAGUCUCUGUGCUCCAUUUAUGGGGCUGAGGCGGCCACAGGAGAUCAUCUCUCUCUGCGAGAGGCUGGGUGCACAAGAGCUGCAGGAUGCGCUCUGCACUUACCUGGCCAGAAACGCCCCCCCCAUGUUGGAGAGGCUCCAUACCGUAGCCAGGAGAGGCUUCCUAGAGAACGGGCAGAGGCUGCACCCAUCGACCUUCGAAAUCCUUGCUUUCCAGGGCCCGAGCAGCACUGAGGACACCCGAGCGUGGAG